rnacentral:lncRNA from 1 species
GAGCAGCGAUUGCUCGAUCUGUUUGAGAAAGCGUCUGACCUGGGCCUGAGAGCUGGGGAAGCUGCAGAUUCAGAGUGAGCGGCUGCGGAGGAGAGCCGCCAAGGCUGCGCGCCUUCUCCAUGCUCCCGCAGCUCCCGCCUGCGCAGCAAGAGGGCACGGGCGCACGGUUUGGGCUGGCAUGCUGCUCUCCCAGCCAGCCGCGCUCUGCUCAGGCCUGGAGGUGAAAGCCGCCUGCCUCCCGUUAUGCGCCCCAUACAGGAGCCCCGGUUUUUCACCAAAAGCCGGCCAGUCCCCUUCACUGCUGCCUCCCAGCAGAGGGCCCCAGGUUCUCCAAGGUCCCAGCUAUGGCUUUGGACAACGUGGCUUCAGUCCCUGGGGUUGCAGAGCUGCAUUGGGUUUACCUCGGUCUCAUUCGCUCACGGAGCCAAGGGCGGGUUUCACCUGGGAACAUCAGACUGACUUGCUGGCGUCAAGAGCAGUUGACUCACUGAUGAAGGCCCUGGUGAGAAGAAAGCACUCACUCUGUUCUUCGCCUACUCUGUAAUCGUUUUGUCAUGAUGAGCCAUGAAAAAAUUAACUUGUGCUGUUAAAUCGUCACUGUAAUGAGGUCUUACGUACGACAUACCUGUGGUGGCUGCAUGGUUUAAUAGCUGCAUUGGAUAGGAUCCUCACGUCACAUUCAGAACCAAAACUGACACAGUGAAACAAUUAAGGUGAGCACAUAUUUUUAACUUUUUUUUUUUUUUUUUUUUUUUUUUUUUUUUUUAGUUUCAUUCCUCCUAGAAUAUUUUUCUAACAAUUUUUAUUUCAGCUUUAAAGAUGGGUCAUAUAGCCAAAGGGGCCAUAUGAUCCAACAUUGCUGAGAUGUCUUAAGACAUUCUAAGGCAAAACUGGCACAUUUGUUCUGCAGACUGUUGCAGGAAUGUUUCUUCCUAGCAUUUCUAUAUUAUCUGUCCAUUCUGAGGAGCCAGUGAAUGCCCCAUAAACGCACCUCCUGUCAAAACCACGCCUGAGAGGUCCGGGCUGGGAGUGACAGGGUGCUUGGAUUCUGUUGGUCCUCUCAUCUCCCGAACUUACUCCUUUUUAUGGGUAAGUCAGCUAGGUUUACAGUCCCUUAUUUUUAAUGCCGAAGUUUUGACAGCAGGAAGAAAACAAUUUUUUAAAAAUUCUCAUUACAUAGACACACAAGAAUAUGUCACAUAAAGAAAAUGUGUUUAGAAUACCAGUUUUCUAUUUAAGCAUGAUAUUUUCCCAAGUAAAUUGCCAAGUGGACUUGGAAGUCCAGAAAAGAAAAUAAUUUAAAUUAAUGCUGGUGAUCUUAAUAAUAUUUUGUAAAAUGGUGCCUCCCCUUCUCCAUGGUCUGGUCAGUUUUGCACAGUUAGCGCCUGACUUUACAAGUUUGUUGUUCUUUCUAAUUUUGACUGAACUGAAAGCACAAAGAAGACUGCACAGAAAAUCUGGAAACAGUUGCAAGUGUUGGGAGGACGAUAAAAUCGAGCUGUCUUUUAACUUUUGUAUGUGUUUUCUCCGAAUUUGCUGGACUGUGCUGGCAAGGGCUUUGUUUACGAUCAAAUUGUACUAGUGUCUGCAGGGUUUGUCAGUACUCGUCAAAGCCAAGUCCAAUUAAAAAAAAAAAGUCUUUGCCCUCC